rnacentral:rRNA from 1 species
UACAGAGACUGCAAGCGUUAUUCGGAUUCACUGGGCGUAAAGGGUGCGCAGGCGGCCAUGUGUGUCAGGUGUGAAAGCCCGGGGCUUAACCCCGGAAUUGCGCCUGAAACUACAUGGCUAGAGCAUUGGAGAGGGUAGCAGAAUUCAUGGUGUAGCAGUGAAAUGCGUAGAUAUCAUGAGGAAUACCAGAGGCGAAGGCGGCUACCUGGACAAUUGCUGACGCUCAGGCACGAAAGCGUGGGGAGCAAAAGGGAUUAGAUACCCCUGUAGUCCACGCCCUAAACGGUGCACACUAGGUCUUGGCGGAUUCGACCCCCCCAGGGCCCAAGCUAACGCGUUAAGUGUGCCGCCUGAGGACUACGGCCGCAAGGCUA